rnacentral:sRNA from 1 species
UAACGCCGCGGCCUGCCUGAUAGUAAU